CUUUCUGGAGUCUGAAAUGUUAAGUAUGGAGGCAAAAGCUGAAGCUGGAGCAACAGUCUCAGAAUAUGACAACAACCAUGAGAAUGGAGGCCAUUCAUAGCAGAACUACGAGACAAGAGGAGCCUAGGUCCCUGAGCUGCAGAACUGCAUACUAACCUGAUGAGAAGACUAAUGCUCAGUGAGGUGAACUCCUUCAGGGCCACAGGCUGUAAAGAUCUAAACACCAUCUGAUCCAGUUUCAAUAUGACUGCCUGGAUGAAGAAGGAUUUGAGACUAAGUUUAUUCCUCCAAAGCAAACCAACUGAGAAUGCAGAGACAGGGUCUUGCUAUGUUGCCCAGGCCAGUCUCAAACUCCUGGGUUCAAGCAAUCCACUCGCCUUGGCCUCUUAAAGCACUGGGAUUACAAGCGUGAACCACCAUGCCUGGCUGAAGAUUCAAGUUUUUAAAACAUCUGAUUUCCACUUGAAACCUUGAAUUGUAUCAUUGGCAACAAAUAAUGUCAGUUAUUUUCCUUGAGAUGACAACUUCACUUAGUUAUUUUCAAGAAAACUGCUGCCAUGUAGCCAACUGUGAAUGACCACAGUUUGCCUGUCAGUCAUUCUGUCAAGUAAAAUGGUGCUCCUCAAACAAAGCAGCACGUUUAGCUCACAACUCAACAACCACACAGCAGUCUUCCUCCCACCCACCAUGGCACUUAUAUUAAUAUAAGCAGCAGAGGUGCUUUAUGUAUGAGUAUUGUGUGAAAAUACUCAAAAGACCUGUAACCAAGGGUCAAGAUUACUACAAUUAAUUUCUACUG
rnacentral:lncRNA from 10 species